GGAGAGUUGUCUCAUUGGCAUUUAUACCACAUCUUCUUAUAUCCAAUUUAUAAAAAAAGAAGAUGUGGUAUGAUUGCUAAUGAGACAACUAUCC
rnacentral:sRNA from 1 species